UGCGCAUCUUCGCUGGUUGUACCGGUACAGCCACGCUGGUUGUACCGGUACAGCAAGCAGAGAAAUCUGCUGUUUUGCAGAUUUCUUCGCUAUAAGCUGCCCUCGCGUCGCACGGAGUCCGUUUUGCGUCUAUUUGACGCCAACGCGACUCGGACUUGUCCCGACACUCUCCAGAGCUGCCGACAAGCCUCCACAGCUGUACACCAGGGAUCUCACAGAGGAGUUGUAUAUUGUAGUCUUAUUUUUCUAAGUAGCGGAGUACUUAGUUUUUUGGGAACCUCUGUCUCUCUCAUCUCUUCUUUUUGCAUACUUAAUCAUAGGGCGCAGAGGUCCAGGCUAGCAAUAAGGAGCUAGGCUUGCCCAUCUUUGAGAAGGAAGGCGAGCGUCGCACGGGCUUUGCGAACAAAAACGCUAAGGCCGUGACAGUUGAUAUCAGAGCCGAUUCGAUGAGGAACCAUGUCGUCAUC
rnacentral:lncRNA from 1 species